AGCUACGCCGUAGGCUGCGUCUAUUUAAAGCUCGCCGACCGAGGAAAACAUGCUUUGCAGACUCGUCUCGAUUUUGAGCAAGCAAGCAUUUUUUCAUUUUUUUUGAGUCAAAUGGCGAACCGCAAAGAGCAGGAGGAUAUUGAACCCACAAAUGGACUCCGGAUCAGGUCCGACACCUAAUAAGCUUUAGGACUACCAACGAGGAGAAUUUUACAAAGAAGAAAUAUGCUGCUAAACCACUGUGGGAGAAACUCAUCAAAGAGCUGGAACUGGAGGGGAAGGUGACCACAGCACAAAUUGGCAAAAAAUGGGAAAAUCUUAAAAAAAAAUAUAAGAACACUUUGGAAGACGCCAGCACAUCGGCCUCAAGCUCUGCCUCACCAGCUGGAAGAGGAAGCUGGAAGCUUCAGGCAUCAGGUCCACUUUCCCCCCGAUCCCCCCAAAAAAAGAAACUCUCUAUGCGGGACUUCCUUCAAGCUGAGGCCGCCAAAGAAGACAGAAAAUGUCAAAAAAAUGAAGAACACAUGGACAGGUUCCUGAACCUUUUAGAGAAAAUGGUGGACCAGACACCUC